rnacentral:rRNA from 1 species
CAAUAGCGUAUAUUAAAGUUGUUGCAGUUAAAAAGCUCGUAGUUGGAUUUGUGUUUUAGAUGAAUGGUUUUUGCUUUUGCAAAGUACUGUUUAUUUGGGACAUUAUUUGUGAGGGUCCUUGACUGGCAUUAAGUUGUCGGUUUUGGAAGCUUGCAUCGUUUACUGUGAAAAAAUUAGAGUGUUUCAAGCAGGCGUUUGCUUUUGAAUACAUUAGCAUGGAAUAAUAGGAUAUGACUAGCGUGGUCUAUUUUGUUGGUUUGCACACGCAAGUAAUGAUUAAUAGGGACAGUUGGGGGUAUUCAUAUUUGAGCGUCAGAGGUGAAAUUCUUGGAUCGCUGAAAGAUGAGCUUAGGCGAAAGCAUUUAUCAUGGAUGUUUUCAUUAA